GAUGAACGCUAGCUACAUGCUUAACACAUGCAAGUCGAGGGACCGGCGCACGUGUGAGUAACACGUAUACAACCUGCCAUUUACUCGGGGAUAGCCUUUCGAAAGCAAGAUUAAUACACUAUAUAAAGGAUGGGGAUGCGUUACAUUAGGUUGUUGGUGAGGUAACGGCUCACCAAUCCUUCGCUGGAUAGGGGUUCUGAGAGGAACGUCACGCACAUUGGAACUGAGACACGGACCAAACUACUAGGGGAGGCAGCAGUGAGGAAUAUUGGUCAAUGUGCGCUAGCCUGAACCAGCCAAGUAGCGUGAAGGAUGAAGGCUUAUGGGUCGUAAACUUCUUUUAUAUAAGAAUAUGUAUUAUAUGAAUAAGGAUCGGCUAACUCCGUGCCAGCCGCCGCGGUAAUAC
rnacentral:rRNA from 1 species